GAUGAACGCUGGCGGCGUGCCUAAUACAUGCAAGUCGAGCGAACAGACGAGGAGCUUGCUCCUUCGACGUUAGCGGCGGACGGGUGAGUAACACGUAGGUAACCUACCUAUAAGACUGGGAUAACUUCGUGAAACCGGAGCUAAUACCGGAUAAUAUUUCGAACCGCAUGGUUCGAUAGUUAAAGAUGGCUUUGCUAUCACUUAUAGAUGGACCUGCGCCGUAUUAGCUAGUUGGUAAGGUAACGGCUUACCAAGGCAACGAUACGUAGCCGACCUGAGAGGGUGAUCGGCCACACUGGAACUGAGACACGGUCCAGACUCCUACGGGAGGCAGCAGUAGGGAAUCUUCCGCAAUGGGCGAAAGCCUGACGGAGCAACGCCGCGUGAGUGAUGAAGGUCUUCGGAUCGUAAAACUCUGUUAUUAGGGAAGAACAAACGUGUAAGUAACUGUGCACGUCUUGACGGUACCUAAUCAGAAAGCCACGGCUAACUACGUG
rnacentral:rRNA from 1 species